UGAACUCAUCCAUCUUGUCCUGAAGUCAGCAGUUUCCUCUUAAUGCCUUAUCUCCGUCCAGGCACUCCUGCUCCAUCCGUCCGCAACAGCGCAGAACCCAACUGGGGACCUGGAUGGAAUGGAAUGUACUGGAAGACUUGGAGCAUAGCAGGACUCCCUAGCGUGGCGCCUGGUGGUUUUGCAGUGUGGCUUCCAGGAACCUCGUCAAGCCCUAUGCCCAGUCACCUAUGGAAUCUGUGUGCCUCCAAGAGCCCAGGCACUUGCUGCUCCCCUGUCUCAAGCUGCUUGCCCCAUCCUCACCCAGCUUCAUCUCAGUGACUCCUCCUUGGCCUUCAGGUCUCCUCCAUGCAGAGCUCCUGGAGCAUGACCCCUGCCCUAGACCCAGCAUCUUGCCCGACCUCCCCCGGUGCAUCCUCUGCUCUAACCCCGACCACACGGCAUCCCAGACGACCACACCUUUGUCACGCUUCCUUUAGGAUGCUUGCUGCCCGAUCUGAAUACCCAUCUAAUGUGGGAUCUGGCAUCUGCUCCAUGAAUGAAGGACUCAAGUUCAUAUAAGACCUGAAGGUGUUGCAGACAUUCUUUCUGUCACAUGGAUACGCACUCUUUGUCUGCAGCUUUAAUUGUACCUUGUUAAUUUCUCCUAAAACUCUCUCUACGUACAGUUGGCUGGUUCAGGAUAGCUCCCUUCUCCAGAGUCCCCACAAAUUCUUGACAGUAGAUCCCUGGACUUCCUACUAAGACUAAACAUAACAUGAAUAAAUAAGUCAUAUCACUUA